rnacentral:rRNA from 1 species
CCCAGACAGCCAGGAUGUUGGCUUAGAAGCAGCCAUCAUUUAAAGAAAGCGUAAUAGCUCACUGGUCGAGUCGGCCUGCGCGGAAGAUGUAACGGGGCUAAACCAUGCACCGAAGCUGCGGCAGCGAACGUAUCACUUAAAGCGAUUCAGCGGGUUACGAUUGACGGAGCGAAGCGACGUCAAAGCGUAUACAAAGUCGAGUCGGUUUAAGGAUACGUUCGUUGGGUAGGGGAGCGUUCUGUAAGCCUGUGAAGGUGGCCUGUGAGGGUUGCUGGAGGUAUCAGAAGUGCGAAUGCUGACAUAAGUAACGAUAAAGCGGGUGAAAAGCCCGCUCGCCGGAAGACCAAGGGUUCCUGUCCAACGUUAAUCGGGGCAGGGUGAGUCGACCCCUAAGGCGAGGCCGAAAGGCGUAGUCGAUGGGAAACGGGUUAAUAUUCCCGUACUUGGUGUUACUGCGAAGGGGGGACGGAGAAGGCUAUGUUGGCCGGGCGACGGUUGUCCCGGUUUAAGCGUGUAGGUGUGUGUUCCAGGUAAAUCCGGUUCACUUUAACACUGAGGCGUGAUGACGAGGCACUACGGUGCUGAAGCAACAAAUGCCCUGCUUCCAGGAAAAGCCUCUAAGCAUCAGGUAACAUCAAAUCGUACCCCAAACCGACACAGGUGGUCAGGUAGAGAAUACCAAGGCGCUUGAGAG